UCGAAGAACCGAGAAGCGAGAAGUGGUUGCGGUAUCACAAUAGCGUAAAAUAGAACGAAGCAUCACUGGGAAAACCGACCCUUUUAUCGUGCCUUUCCGCUUCGUAGGGUCUUUACGUCACAUUUAUUCAAAUACUGAACGAAUGAUUUCAUACUUCAACUUCAAUAUCAUGAAGAUGCUAUAAAACCUACAGAACUUGGAAGCGUGCCAAAAUAUUCGAGAACAUAUUUCAUUUCUUCUGGAUAAGCAGACAUUUAUAUUUUCUUGCUUAUAUAUUCGUUAUAUACUAAGGCCAUACAAACAUAUAAAUAUAAAUUACGUAGCCGUUAUCGCAAAUAAUGCACAAGGCUGAAUUGUGGAGGUUGCUGAGAAUAAAUGGCAUUAUCAGAGUGGUAACGCGGCUGUGUGCCAAUCACAGGUAUCGAUCAUCGGACAGAUCUGUCAAUCUCAUAUGGAUGAUCGCUGGACCGCAGCUACUAUUAUUCUAUCUCUCUCUCUUUCUCUCUUUCUUUCUCUCUCAUACGCCCGAUUCCCUAUU